GGGCGCGUAGCUCAACGGUAGAGCAGUGGCCUUUUAAGCCAUUGGUUGAGAGUUCGAGCCUCUCCGCGCUCA
rnacentral:tRNA from 2 species